rnacentral:rRNA from 1 species
GGAAUAUUGCGCAAUGGGGGAAACCCUGACGCAGCAACGUCGCGUGAGUGAUGAAGGUUUUCGGAUCGUAAAGCUCUUUUAGUAGGGAAGAAAAAAAUGACGGUACCUACAGAAAAAGCACCGGCUAACUCCGUGCCAGCAGCCGCGGUAAUACGGAGGGUGCGAGCGUUAUUCGGAUUUAUUGGGCGUAAAGCGCGCGUAGGCGGUUUGGAAAGUCUGCUGUGAAAGCCCACGACUCAAUCGUAGAACUGCAGUGGAUACUACCAGACUAGAGUAUUGGAGAGGAGAACGGAAUUCCUGGUGUAGAGGUGAAAUUCGUAGAUAUCAGGAGGAACAACGAAGGCGAAGGCAGUUCUCUGGACAAUUACUGACGCUGAGGUGCGAAAGCGUGGGGAGCA